rnacentral:tRNA from 1 species
GCGUCCGUAGCUCAACCGGAUAGAGCGCCAACCUGCUAAGUUGGGGGCUGCGGGUUCGAGUCCCGCCGGGCGCG